rnacentral:rRNA from 1 species
ACGAACUCUGGCGGCAUGCCUAACACAUGCAAGUCGAACGAGACCUUCGGGUCUAGUGGCGCACGGGUGCGUAACGCGUGGGAACCUGCCCUUAGGUUCGGAAUAACUCCCCGAAAGGGGUGCUAAUACCGGAUAAUGUCUUCGGACCAAAGAUUUAUCGCCUUUGGAUGGGCCCGCGUUGGAUUAGCUAGUUGGUAGGGUAAAAGCCUACCAAGGCGACGAUCCAUAGCUGGUCUGAGAGGAUGAUCAGCCACACUGGGACUGAGACACGGCCCAGACUCCUACGGGAGGCAGCAGUGGGGAAUAUUGGACAAUGGGCGAAAGCCUGAUCCAGCAAUGCCGCGUGAGUGAUGAAGGCCUUAGGGUUGUAAAGCUCUUUUACCCGGGAUGAUAAUGACAGUACCGGGAGAAUAAGCUCCGGCUAACUCCGUG